GGAUGAACGCUGGCGGCGUGCUUAACACAUGCAAGUCGAACGAUGAAGCCCAGCUUGCUGGGUGGAUUAGUGGCGAACGGGUGAGUAACACGUGAGUAACCUGCCCUUAACUCUGGGAUAAGCCUGGGAAACUGGGUCUAAUACCGGAUAGGAGCGUCCACCGCAUGGUGGGUGUUGGAAAGAUUUAUCGGUUUUGGAUGGACUCGCGGCCUAUCAGCUUGUUGGUGAGGUAAUGGCUCACCAAGGCGACGACGGGUAGCCGGCCUGAGAGGGUGACCGGCCACACUGGGACUGAGACACGGCCCAGACUCCUACGGGAGGCAGCAGUGGGGAAUAUUGCACAAUGGGCGAAAGCCUGAUGCAGCGACGCCGCGUGAGGGAUGACGGCCUUCGGGUUGUAAACCUCUUUCAGUAGGGAAGAAGCGAAAGUGACGGUACCUGCAGAAGAAGCACCGGCUAACUACGUG
rnacentral:rRNA from 1 species